CUGUCCUGAGGAGAGAUGUAAGGCGCAGUGCUUCUGAGAGCCGACUUCAAUAGGUCUUCUCCUAGCUCAGCGUGCUUAUGGCCACAGAAUUGGGCCCUUUGGAAGAAAAUUGGUAAUGCUUUGUCACUGAGGCGGUCGCGUCGAGAAUCGUGAGGCCGGGUCAUUGCUUAAGGUCUACUCGCCUGUUCAGACCUAGAGCUGCCAGGAUCUGGGAAAUGGGCGCUGUCCCCUAACCUCUUAAACUGCUGACUAGGGCCGGGAAACCGAAGGUAUCGGGAGAAAAGAAAGGAGUUACAAAGAUGUCAGCCUGGCGAGGGAGUGCCCAUUCACAACCUACGAAAAAAGAUUUCAUUUGGCUUUUUUGAUAAAGACAAUGAACAACUUUCGUGUGGACCAGUCUGGGACUCUAAGCUGGGAGUUUGCAGGAGUGGCUCUAGACACACAAAGACUAACUAUGAAGGGUGGGACACUGAGGCUGUAUGGGAGACGUAUUUCAUGUUGAAUGUGCCAAGCUCUUUGGUGAAAAAACAAAACAAAACCUAAGAUCUUGUUACAGUGUCCAGGCUGGGUGUGAACAGUGAUACUCCAGUGGCCUUCCUGCUUCAUCCUCCCAGGUAGCAAGGACUCCGUAUAGAUGUGCUGGCUUAGCAAAUGUUUAAAGAUUCACCUGUACUUGCCUCUUGUGUACUGGAAUUAAAAGUGACCUCCACCCUGACCAGCAUUAACUGCUUUGACCACUCAGUACCUUCCUCUUAAACUUAAAGAACUACUUAUUCUACUGGCAUAUUCACUUGAUACAUGUUAUCAGAUGACUCCAUACUCACUUUAGGAAAAUGCAGACUCCAGCACCACAAUGAAGUGCAUGAAAAACGCAUGCUCCAACCUCUUCCCCAUUCACUAUUUCUUGGCAACAGAUGUUCUGAGAACACAGGAUGGCCCCACAGAAAAGACAGAGGACAGGAUGCUUUCGCUCAUCAUCUGCAGACCGUGGACACCUCAACAGGGGAAGACACAUUCGUGUUGGAAAACAAGAAGCACAUCAUGUAUCUAUUUAGUAAUAAAGCCUGUUCCAUCACUCACCCUACUCAGCAGAGAAAGACAAUUCCUGCUCUUCC
ensembl:processed_transcript expressed sequence AV039307